rnacentral:rRNA from 1 species
UACGGAGGGGGCAAGCGUUGUUCGGAUUUACUGGGCGUAAAGCGUAUGUAGGCGGUUUGGUAAGUUACUUGUGAAAUUUCUGAGCUUAACUCAGAGCGGCCAAGUAAUACUGCCGAACUAGAGUGCAGAAGGGGCAAUUGGAAUUCUUGGUGUAGCGGUGAAAUGCGUAGAUAUCAAGAGGAACACCAGAGGCGAAGGCGAAUUGCUGGGCUGACACUGACGCUGAGAUACAAAAGCUAGGGGAGCAAACAGG